rnacentral:rRNA from 1 species
UACAGAGGUCCCGAGCGUUGUUCGGAUUCACUGGCGUAAAGGGUGCGUAGGUGGCUUUGCAAGUCUGAUGUGAAAUCUCCGGCUUAACCCGGAAAUGGCAUUAGAAACUGUGAGGCUUGAGGCUUGGAGGGGGAACUGGAAUUCUCGGUGUAGCAGUGAAAUGCGUAGAGAUCGAGAGGAACACCAGUGGCGAAGGCGAGUUCCUGGACAAGUCCUGACACUGAGGCACGAAAGCCGGGGGAGCAAAACAGG